UAAACCCUAGAUAUUCCUUAAAUAAAACAGUUUCUUUUAAAGAUAAAUUUAUUAAUUCAUUUCAUGAAUGAGAAUGUACAAUUUAAAAAAAAAAAAAACCACUUGUAGACAGUGAAGGACAAGCUCUAUCAAUACAAUAAAAGUUUUAACCUUAGCAUCAAAUGAACGUUAUGGCACGUUGACAAUUAGCUCUAUCACAAUUCAAGUACAGCAUAUUUAGAGUGGUUGCAAGCACUUAAUACAUUAAUGAAAUCAGCUUUAGAUGGCCCAAAAUGAUAGGGUAAAAUUGACAAAAGAACCAAGCAUCCAUCAAACUGGAACCGCUUGUAAAAGAAAGAUGACAUGUGUAAUGGGCCAAAUCCGUCCAGGCCCAAUUAAACCCAAAAUGCCCCAAGCCCAAAAAAAACCCUAGCCAAAUACAUUAAAAAAAUCAGAAAAAAAGAAACAAAAAAAAAACCUAAGUUCAGCCGCCGUACCAUCGCCCAUACCUUCUGCCUUCAACCACUCUCUGCCAUCCUUGCAAAACAGACCAAAGAAGAGCAGAUAAACACAACACGCAAACAGUAGCAGAAACAUUUUUUUUAAUAUUUGUAAUCGGCUUUAAAAGGCCGAAUAAUGAAUGUAAAAGGGGGGCUCUUUUCAAAAUUCAAAAAACGAAGAAAUUAAUCAAAAAGAGACCAAGAAUUUCGAAAGGUUUUUUAUCCUUUUUAUUUUUUAUUUUUGAUAAAAUAAAUAAAUAAGCAAAACAUACCUGUUGUCUUGUUUUCUCACCACGGUUAAAGGCCGUCGCCGGCGUUUUGAUGCCACAAACCCGUUGGGUUCCCAACGAGGGUUUAAAAGAGGGAAAAUAGGAUCUGAAAUAACCCUUUUUUCUUCCCUUUUAUUUUUGAUUUUUGGUUUUAAAAAAGGAGAUAGAGAUCAAAUAAGGGCGGAAGAGACUUAUCUUAGUAGUAACUCCUUCGAGUCCUUGCUUGCUUCGUCGUUAUCGAAGCCUAGGCGAAGAUUCGGAGGCUCAGGAGCACGACCCUCGGAUUCGUGGUCGAACAGGGCUAGAUUUGGCCUUCGCUUGAUGACCGUCGGCCGAAUACGGAGGCAAAACAACAAUUGAAGUCUUUCUUUUUUUUCGGCCGAAUGAGAGGGGAGGCGGCUAAGUUUUGGUGUUGAUUUCAAAUGACUGAGCAUUAGUUUAGGGUUUCUUUUAAU
rnacentral:lncRNA from 1 species